GACGAACGCUGGCGGCGUGCCUAAUACAUGCAAGUAGAACGCUGAAGGAGGAGCUUGCUUCUCUGGAUGCGUCGCGCACGGGUGUGUAACGCGUAGGUAACCUGCCUGGUAGCGGGGGAUAACUAUUGGAAACGAUAGCUAAUACCGCAUAAUAGUAGAUGUUGCCUGACAUUUACUUAAAAGUUGCAAUUGCAUCACUACCAGAUGGACCUGCGUUGUAUUAGCUAGUUGGUGGGGUAACGGCCCACCAAGGCGACGAUACAUAGCCGAGCUGAGAGGGUGAUCGGCCACCCAGGGACAGAAACGAGGCCCAGACUCCUAGAGAAGGCACGCGGAGGGAAGCUUCGGCAAUGGACGGAAGUCUGAGCGAGAUACGCCGAAGGAGUGGAAAAGGUUGUCGGAUGGGAAAGAACUGUUGUAGGAGAAGAACGAGUAUGAGGGUGGAACGUUCACGUUGUGACGGUACCUUACCAAGAAGCAACGGCUAACUACGUG
rnacentral:rRNA from 1 species